rnacentral:rRNA from 1 species
GACGAACGCUGGCGGCGUGCUUAACACAUGCAAGUCGAACGGAAAGGCCCUGCUUUUGUGGGGUGCUCGAGUGGCGAACGGGUGAGUAACACGUGAGUAACCUGCCCUUGACUUUGGGAUAACUUCAGGAAACUGGGGCUAAUACCGGAUAGGAGCUCCUGCUGCAUGGUGGGGGUUGGAAAGUUUCGGCGGUUGGGGAUGGACUCGCGGCUUAUCAGCUUGUUGGUGGGGUAGUGGCUUACCAAGGCUUUGACGGGUAGCCGGCCUGAGAGGGUGACCGGCCACAUUGGGCCUGAGAUAGGGCCCAGACUCCUACGGGAGGCAGCGGGGGGGAAUAUGGCACAACGGGCGGAAGCCUGAGGCGGCAACGCCGCGUGCGGGAUGACGGCUUUCGGGUGGUAAACCGCUUUCGCCUGUGACGAAGCGUGAGUGACGGUAAUGGGUAAAGAAGCACCGGCUAACUACGUG